rnacentral:rRNA from 1 species
GGAAAGAUGAAAAGAACUUUGAAAAGAGAGUUAAACAGUACGUGAAAUUGUUGAAAGGGAAACGAUUGAAGUCAGUCAUACCAACGGGAAAUCAACCUUUUGAGUUCGUUCUUGUGGGUUUCGAGGAGUUUAAAAGCCUUCUAAUUUGUGAGGAUUGGGCUCUUUUGGUGUACUUUCUCGUACGGUUAGUCAACAUCGGUUUUGAAUGUCAUAAAAUGACUGGAGGAAUGUGGCUUCGAUCUCGUAUCGAAGUGUUAUAACCUUUGGUAGAUGUGAUGUUCGAGACCGAGGAUUGCAACGGAUACCUUCCAGGCUAUUCGUCUGACCUCUGAUACGUUGCCUUGAUGUCGAAAGCGUGCUUAUGAUGUUAGGGUAUUACGGUCAAAAGGUUAGAACGGAUUAAAUUCAUUAAGGAUGUUGACGUAAUGACUUUAAACGACCCGUCUUGAAACACGGACCA